AGCAGCCUCCUCUCUUGCUUGUUCUUCCUCCUCGUCCCCACCCCUUUCACUUCUUUUUCUCCCUCUCAAUCUCUCGCCUUCUCUCUUUCCAGCCUGCCGCCUCCACCUCCUGGUCCCUGCUCAGGUGUCAGUCACUCUGUUAGGCCUGGUUUGGAGAAGAAGAAUGGCCAGGGUGGGUUGGAUGAGAGCGGAAAGGCAGAGGAGAGAGAAGCCCUGCCCACCCCGGUGCAAAAGUAUACCCUCUCUUCCUUUGCAACUGUGCUUUCCUGGUGUGGUUGAGCCGCAGUGUGAACAACUAAGUGCAGUGAAGAAACAGUCUGCCAAAGAUGUUACACGAGUAAUAAAUGGUAGAGCCUGGGAUCUGAAUGCUGGUCAAAAUCUUUCUCUAUUUCUACUACACCUUGUUUCAUUCUGCCAAGGUCAUAAAGCUUAGAGUUUCCAAGGACAGCAUCAUGACACAGGUUCAAAAUGAAGACUUGUCUUUUACGUACAACUUGAGACCACACCACCUCUAAAAUUACCUCCUAACUUGGGAGAUUACAGUCAACUCAAUUAUACCUGUGUGGAUUUUGCCCCAUAAUCUCGAAUGGUUUGGGGCUAUCACUGAUGCCUCAUCCAUGUCUACCUCUCUUCCUUGACCCCAAUGCUUCUACAGGUGUACCACAAGGUUCCACAUGCCAUUUGAGGGGGCAUUCCCCACUUUUUCUUGACAUCACAAAGACACUAAUGGAGCAUGUGGUAUGUCUAUCAUUUAUCUCUCAUUCUCACUGGUCCAUCUUUUCCACUCAUCUUUUUUUUUUAA